rnacentral:rRNA from 1 species
UACGGAAGGCAGCAGUGGGGAAUAUUGCACAAUGGGCGAAAGCCUGAUGCAGCUAUGCCGCGUGUAUGAAGAAGGCCUUAGGGUUGUAAAGUACUUUCAUCGGGGAGGAAAAACAAAAUUAAUAAUUUUAUUUCUUGACGUUACCCGAAAAAGAAGCACCGGCUAACUCCGUGCCAGCAGCCGCGGUAAUACGGAGGGUGCUAGCGUUAAUCAGAAUUACUGGGCGUAAAGAGCACGUAGGUGGUUUUUUUAAGUCAGAUGUGAAAUCCCUGGGCUUAACCUAGGAACUGCAUUUUGAAACUGAAAUACUAGAGUAUCGUAGAGGGAGGUAGAAUUCUAGGUGUAGCGGUGAAAUGCGUAGAUAUCUGGAGGAAUACCUGUGGCGAAAGCGGCCUCCUAAACGAAUACUGACACUGAGGUGCGAAAGCGUGGGGAGCAAACAGGGAUUAGAUACC